AACGCACAUUGCGCCCCCUGGUAUUCCGGGGGGCAUGCCUGUUCGAGCGUCAUUUCACCACUCAAGCCUCGCUUGGUAUUGGGCAACGCGGUCCGCCGCGUGCCUCAAAUCGACCGGCUGGGUCUUCUGUCCCCUAAGCGUUGUGGAAACUAUUCGCUAAAGGGUGCUCGGGAGGCUACGCCGUAAAACAAACCCAUUUCUAAGGUUGACCUCGGAUCAGGUAGGGAUACCCGCUGAACUUAA
rnacentral:misc_RNA from 1 species